AACUUUUGGCAACGGAUCUCUUGGUGCUGGCAUCGAUGAAGAACGCAGCGAAAUGCGAUAAGUAAUGUGAAUUGCAGAAUUCAGUGAAUCAUCGAAUCUUUGAACGCACAUUGCACCCUCUGGCAUUCCGGGGGGUAUGCCUGUUCGAGCGUCAUUACAACCCUCAAGCCUUGCUUCGUGUUGGGUGCCACCUGUCACACGGUGAAUCUCAACAUCAGUGGCGGUGCGGCUUGGCUUCAAGCAAAUUAACUCUUCUCGCUCCGGCGCUCAUGCGGCAUUACUGCCAACAACCUCAAACACAUCAGAGGUUGUGGUCGUAUCAGGUAGGGAUACCCGCUGAACUUAAUCAUAUCAAUAAGCGGUGGCU
rnacentral:misc_RNA from 1 species